rnacentral:tRNA from 1 species
GAUAGGGUGGCUGAGUUUAGGCGAUAAAUUGUAAAUUUAUUAACGAAAGUAAUUUCUUCUAUCA